rnacentral:rRNA from 1 species
UACGUAGGGUGCGAGCGUUGUCCGGAAUUAUUGGGCGUAAAGAGCUCGUAGGCGGUGUGUCGCGUCGGCCGUGAAAACCUGCAGCUUAACUGUGGGCUUGCGGUCGAUACGGGCAUCACUGGAGUUCGGCAGGGGAGACUGGAAUUCCUGGUGUAGCGGUGAAAUGCGCAGAUAUCAGGAGGAACACCGGUGGCGAAGGCGGGUCUCUGGGCCGGUACUGACGCUGAGGUGCGAAAGCGUGGGGAGCAAACAGG